AUUGAACGCUGGCGGCAGGCCUAACACAUGCAAGUCGAGCGGUAGAGAGAAGCUUGCUUCUCUUGAGAGCGGCGGACGGGUGAGUAAUGCCUAGGAAUCUGCCUGGUAGUGGGGGAUAACGUUCGGAAACGGACGCUAAUACCGCAUACGUCCUACGGGAGAAAGCAGGGGACCUUCGGGCCUUGUGCUAUCAGAUGAGCCUAGGUCGGAUUAGCUAGUUGGUGAGGUAAUGGCUCACCAAGGCGACGAUCCGUAACUGGUCUGAGAGGAUGAUCAGUCACACUGGAACUGAGACACGGUCCAGACUCCUACGGGAGGCAGCAGUGGGGAAUAUUGGACAAUGGGCGAAAGCCUGAUCCAGCCAUGCCGCGUGUGUGAAGAAGGUCUUCGGAUUGUAAAGCACUUUAAGUUGGGAGGAAGGGCAUUAACCUAAUACGUUAGUGUUUUGACGUUACCGACAGAAUAAGCACCGGCUAACUCUGUGC
rnacentral:rRNA from 1 species